CAAAGUCCGGCCACAGGUUUUGUGUCACUAAUAUGCAGUGCUGCCUGAGCAAAGACAUGCCCCAGGUGGACUGGGU
rfam:Bagaza virus isolate ARA23139_Dezidougou_CI_1988, complete genome